CCUGAGAAACGGCUACCACAUCCAAGGAAGGCAGCAGGCGCGCAAAUUACCCACUCCCGGCACGGGGAGGUAGUGACGAAAAAUAACGAUACGGGACUCAUCCGAGGCCCCGUAAUCGGAAUGAGUACACUUUAAAUCCUUUAACGAGUAUCCAUUGGAGGGCAAGUCUGGUGCCAGCAGCCGCGGUAAUUCCAGCUCCAAUAGCGUAUAUUAAAGUUGUUGCGGUUAAAAAGCUCGUAGUUGGAGUUGUGUCCCACGUUGUCGGUUCACAGACCGUCUGUGCUUAAGGACGCCGCCGNUGCGGAAAGCAUGCACUCCAGCACCGCGGUGCUCUUAACCGAGUGUCGAGGUGGACCGGCACGUUUACUUUGAACAAACCCCGUUGACCGNCGGUCCUAUCAAAUCCUACCGCUGGCACGCCCGUGUGGACGUCCUGCCGGUUUAGAGUGCUYAAAGCAGGCAGUGCUUAGCCUGAAUACUGUGUGCAUGGAAUAAUGGAAUAGGACCUCGGUUCUAUUUGGUUGGUUUUCGGAACUUGAGGUAAUGAUUAAUAGGGACUGUCGGGGGCAUUCGUAUUGCGACGUUAGAGGUGAAAUUCUUGGACCGUCGCAAGACGAACCGAAGCGAAAGCAUUUGCCAAGAAUGUUCUCACUAAUCAAGAACGAAAGUUAGAGGUUCGAAGGCGAUCAGAUACCGCCCUAGUUCUAACCAUAAACGAUGCCAGCCAGCGAUCCGCCGAAGUUCCUCCGAUGACUCGGCGGGCAGCUUCCGGGAAACCAAAGCUUUUGGGUUCCGGGGGAAGUAUGGUUGCAAAGCUGAAACUUAAAGGAAUUGACGGAAGGGCACCACCAGGAGUGGAGCCUGCGGCUUAAUUUGACUCAACACGGGAAACCUCACCAGGCCCGGACACCGGAAGGAUUGACAGAUUGAGAGCUCUCUCUUGAUUCGGUGGGUGGUGGUGCAUGGCCGUUCUUAGUUGGUGGAGCGAUUUGUCUGGUUAAUUUCCGAUAACGAACGAGACUC
rnacentral:rRNA from 1 species